UAGAAGAAGGAAUAAAAAUUAUUUAUGUAGUGUGAUCAAAUAAUCCCAAAAUUAAUAAAUUUUCUAUGGCGUAUAUGAGCCAUUAGCUCGUUUAACGGUAUAGAGCAAUCAAAAACUACUUGAAUUUAUAAUACAAAACUUUUAUACGAACUAGAAUAACGUAUGAUCAAUUGAGAAAGCCUAAUCUCUAUUUUUUAUCAGGUUAUUCGUUUUCGACCUUUCAUUCUUUGACUUUUUUUGAUAGACUUGAUAAUCAUUUUUAAAUAUUAUUAAAUUUGAUUUCUAAAUAUUUUAAAUAGAUAGAUCAACAUCAACAGCUCCGUUUAUCAAACUAGAGUUCUGAUUAUCGAAAAUAACUUUGAUGUGCAUCCGAUCAAGUUACAAUCAAACCUCCAAAGUUUUAUAAGGUUAUUUGUUUUCGACCUUAUUCAUUUUUCAAUUUUUUGAUAGACUUGAUAAUCAUUUUUAAAUACUAUAAAAUUUGAUUUCUAAAUAUUUCAAAUAGAUAGAUCAACUUCGAUGGCUCCGUUUAUCAAACUAUGUUGUGAUCAUCG
rnacentral:lncRNA from 1 species